UCGUCACACUAUCAUUAACUGAAUCCAUAGGUUAAUGAGGCGAACCGGGGGAACUGAAACAUCUAAGUACCCCGAGGAAAAGAAAUCAACCGAGAUUCCCCCAGUAGCGGCGAGCGAACGGGGAGGAGCCCAGAGCCUGAAUCAGCAUGUGUGUUAGUGGAAGCAUCUGGAAAGGCGCGCGAUACAGGGUGACAGCCCCGUACACAAAAGCACAUGUGCUGUGAGCUCGAUGAGUAGGGCGGGACACGUGGUAUCCUGUCUGAAUAUGGGGGGACCAUCCUCCAAGGCUAAAUACUCCUGACUGACCGAUAGUGAACCAGUACCGUGAGGGAAAGGCGAAAAGAACCCCGGCGAGGGGAGUGAAAAAGAACCUGAAACCGUGUACGUACAAGCAGUGGGAGCCCCACCACUAAGCCAGUGGUGAACUCCACAUACGCAUCCUUUGCUGAGGAUACGGUUAACGGAGCGAAAGCGACGUUCAACCGCAAAAGAAGCAGAGGGGGCUUAGUGGUGGGGUGACUGCGUACCUUUUGUAUAAUGGGUCAGCGACUUAUAUUCUGUAGCAAGGUUAACCGAAUAGGGGAGCCGGAGGGAAACCGAGUCUUAACCGGGCGUUAAGUUGCAGGGUAUAGACCCGAAACCCGGUGAUCUAGCCAUGGGCAGGUUGAAGGUUGG
rnacentral:rRNA from 1 species